rnacentral:rRNA from 1 species
AUAUGGGUACUUGUCACCCUAUAGUCCAAGACCAGUUACUCACUGAAGCUAAGCAGGGCUGAGCCUGGUCAGUACCUGGAUGGGAGACCACAUGGGAAAACUAGGCUGCUGUUGGU